UACCGAUUAUGACUAGGGUAUUCAUGAA
rnacentral:ncRNA from 2 species